GCUGGGUGUGGUGGCGGGCACCUGUAAUCCCAGCUACCCAGGAGGCUGAGACAGGAGAAUCACUUGAACUCGGGAGGUGUAGGUUGCAGUGAGCCACGAUCGUGCCACUGCACUCCAGCCUAGGUGACAGAGUGAGACUCUGUCUCAA
rnacentral:SRP_RNA from 1 species